rnacentral:rRNA from 1 species
UAAUCGGAUACUGGGCGUAAGCGCACGCAGGCGGUCUGUCAAGUCGGAUGUGAAAUCCCCGCGGCUCAACCUGGGAACUGCAUUUGAAACUGGCAGGCUUGAGUCUCGUAGAGGGGGGUAGAAUUCCAGGUGUAGCGGUGAAAUGCGUAGAGAUCUGGAGGAAUACCGGUGGCGAAGGCGGCCCCCUGGACAAAGACUGACGCUCAGGUGCGAAAGCGUGGGGAGCAAACAGGAUUAGAUACCCUGGUAGUCCACGCUGUAAACGAUGUCUAUUUGGAGGUUGUGCCCUUGAGGAGUGGCUUCCGGAGCUAACGCGUUAAGUCGACCGCCUGGGGAGUACGGCCGCAAGGUUAAAACUCAAAUGAAUUGACGGGGGCCCGCACAAGCGGUGGAGCAUGUGGUUUAAUUCGAUGCAACGCGAAGAACCUUACCUACUCUUGACAUCCACAGAAUUCGCCAGAGAUGCCUUAGUGCCUUCGGGAACUCUGAGACAGGUGCUGCAUGGCUGUCGUCAGCUCGUGUUGUGAAAUGUUGGGUUAAGUCCCGCAACGAGCGCAACCCUUAUCCUUUGUUGCCAGCGGUUAGUGCCGGGAACUCAAAGGAAACUGGCCAGUUGAUAAAACCGGAAGGAAGGUUGGGGAUGACGUUCAAGUUCAUUCAUUGGCCCUUUACGAGCUAGGGGCUACACACGUGGCUACCAUGGCAUAUAACAAAGAGAAGCGACCUCGGCGAGAGCAAGCCGGAACUUCAUAAAGGUAUCGUUCGUAGUUCGGGAUUGGGAGUCUUGCAACUCGACUUCAUGAAGUCGGAAUCG